UACGUAGGGCGCAAGCGUUGUCCGGAAUUAUUGGGCGUAAAGAGCUCGUAGGCGGCUUGUCACGUCGGAUGUGAAAGCCCGGGGCUUAACCCCGGGUCUGCAUUCGAUACGGGCUAGCUAGAGUGUGGUAGGGGAGAUCGGAAUUCCUGGUGUAGCGGUGAAAUGCGCAGAUAUCAGGAGGAACACCGGUGGCGAAGGCGGAUCUCUGGGCCAUUACUGACGCUGAGGAGCGAAAGCGUGGGUAGCAAACAGG
rnacentral:rRNA from 1 species